rnacentral:piRNA from 1 species
UCAAAGCCAAGUAUCUUUAGUAAAAGGUG